rnacentral:misc_RNA from 1 species
CCAAACUUGGUCAUUUAGAGGAAGUAAAAGUCGUAACAAGGUUUCCGUAGGUGAACCUGCGGAAGGAUCAUUACCGAACCGUCGACAGAGUUGUUGCUGGUCCCCCCUCAUGGGGGGCAUGUGCACGCCCUGUUUACAUUCCACUCACACCUGUGCACCCCUCUGUAGUUCUGUGUACCGGGGGGACUCUGUCCUCCCGCCAUGGUUCUACGUCUUUACACAUACGCCGUAAUGAAGUCUCAUGGAUGUGCCUCGCGUUUAACGCAAUCGAAUACAACUUUCAGCAACGGAUCUCUUGGCUCUCGCAUCGAUGAAGAACGCAGC